rnacentral:rRNA from 1 species
GACGAACGCUGGCGGCGUGCUUAACACAUGCAAGUCGAACGGAAAGGCCCUGCUUUUGUGGGGUGCUCGAGUGGCGAACGGGUGAGUAACACGUGAGUAACCUGCCCUUGACUUUGGGAUAACUUCAGGAAACUGGGGCUAAUACCGGAUAGGAGCUCCUGCUGCAUGGUGGGGGUUGGAAAGUUUCGGCGGUUGGGGAUGGACUCGCGGCUUAUCAGCUUGUUGGUGGGGUAGUGGCUUACCAAGGCUUUGACGGGUAGCCGGCCUGAGAGGGUGACCGGCUCCACUGGGACUGAGCUACGGCACAGACUCCUACGGGAGGCAGCGGUGGGGAAUAUUGCACAAUGGGCGGAGGCAUGAUGCAGCAAAGCAGCGUGGGGGAUAACGGCCUUCGGGUUGUAAACCGCUUUGGCCUGAGACGAGGCGUGUGUGACGGUAAUGGGUGAAGAAGCAACGGCUAACUACGUG